rnacentral:rRNA from 1 species
AUUGAACGCUGGCGGCAUGCCUUACACAUGCAAGUCGAACGGCAGCACGGGGGUAACCCUGGUGGCGAGUGGCGAACGGGUGAGUAAUACAUCGGAACGUGCCCAGUAGUGGGGGAUAGCUCGGCGAAAGCCGGAUUAAUACCGCAUACGACCUACGGGUGAAAGCGGGGGACCGCAAGGCCUCGCGCUACCGGAGCGGCCGAUGUCAGAUUAGGUAGUUGGUGGGGUAAAGGCCUACCAAGCCGACGAUCUGUAGCUGGUCUGAGAGGACGAGCAGCAACACUGGGACUGAGACACGGCCCAGACUCCUACGGGAGGCAGCAGUGGGGAAUUUUGGACAAUGGGGGCAACCCUGAUCCAGCCAUGCCGCGUGCGGGAAGAAGGCCUUCGGGUUGUAAACCGCUUUUGUCGGGGAAGAAAUCUCUCAGACUAAUACCCUGGGAGGAUGACGGUACCCGAAGAAUAAGCACCGGCUAACUCUGUGCCAGCGCCGCCGUAACAC